rnacentral:rRNA from 1 species
GACGAACGCUGGCGGCGUGCUUAACACAUGCAAGUCGAACGGUAAGGCUCCAGCUUGCUGGGGUACACGAGUGGCGAACGGGUGAGUAACACGUGGGUGACCUGCCCUGCACUUCGGGAUAAGCCUGGGAAACUGGGUCUAAUACCGGAUAGGACCGCACCGUGAGGGUGUGGUGGAAAGUUUUUUCGGUGUGGGAUGGGCCCGCGGCCUAUCAGCUUGUUGGUGGGGUAAUGGCCUACCAAGGCGGCGACGGGUAGCCGGCCUGAGAGGGUGGACGGCCACAGUGGGACUGAGACACGGCCCAGACUCCUACGGGAGGCAGCAGUGGGGAAUAUUGCACAAUGGGCGGAAGCCUGAUGCAGCGACGCCGCGUGGGGGAUGACGGCCUUCGGGUUGUAAACUCCUUUCACCAUCGACGAAGGGUUUCUGACGGUAGAUGGAAAAGAAGCACCGGCUAACUACGU